UUUCACAGAACCUCUUCAAGAUAUACAGUACUUACUGUCAUGUCCCUUAAAAGAUUUUAUGGUAUUCUGUACAUCAUGCACCUAACUUUUCCUCAGGCACAAAGUGAAAUUGACUCCUGGGACUCAGAAGAAAGGAAAAGCUGCCCGGACCGCUGUGUUUAGCUUCAUGCAUGCUAAAGAAACCAUUGCCAGAGAGAAAGACCUGUUCCGCAGCGUGAAGGACACUGAUCUUUCAAGAAACAUGCCUGGCAAAGUGAAAGUAUCUGCUCCAAACCUUUUGGCAGCAAAGAAGACUGACUUCAUUCCUUUACAGUUUGUAG